rnacentral:rRNA from 1 species
ACUCAAAGGAAUAGACGGGGGCCCGCACAAGCGGUGGAGCAUGUGGCUUAAUUCGAUGCAACGCGAAGAACCUUACCAGGGCUUGACAUGCUACUGCAAGCUGCCGAAAAGCAGUCGCCUUCGAGGGUGUAGCACAGGUGGUGCAUGGCUGUCGUCAGCUCGUGUUGUGAAAUGUUGGGUUAAGUCCCGCAACGAGCGCAACCCUCAUGUUUUGUUACCAGCGGGUCAUGCCGGGAACUCGAAACAAACUGCCUCUGUAAGGAGGAGGAAGGUGGGGAUGACGUCAAGUCAUCAUGCCCCUUACGCCCUGGGCUGCACACAUGCUACAAUGGCCGGUACAAUGGGGUGCGAAACCGCGAGGUGGAGCCAAUCUCAAAAAGCCGGUCUCAGUUCGGAUUGGAGUCUGCAACUCGACUCCAUGAAGUUGGAAUCGCUAGUAACCGCAGGUCAGCAAUACUGCGGUGAAUACGUUCCCGGGCCUUGCACACACCGCCCGU